rnacentral:misc_RNA from 1 species
UGCCACGCUCUGAAAGACCAACCUUGUCCUCAAGGUUGAAUGAAGGAAACUGGUUCUGGAUAUCAACUAAAUUCAUCCAAGUUGCUUCUUCCUCAGGUUUCCCUUUCCAUUGAAUCAGAAUUUGAAUGACCGGGUAUUGAUCAACUAUAAUCCUGCGCCAGUUCAACACUUUCUCUGGCUCUACCAUAUUUUCAGUUACCACCAUUUCCUUUGGAAGUUCAGUAACAACUGGAUGAUUGCCUAUCACAAGUUUGAGUUGAGAAACAUGGAAGACCGGAUGAAUUCUGGCUUCCACCGGUAAGAGCAAUUUAUAGGCAACAGGUCCCACACGUUCCAGUAUUUGGAAAGGCCCAAAAUAACGAGCUGCUAACUUUGGAAUAACUCUCUAUUGUAAAGAGAUAGAUUUGUGUGGUCGGAACUUUAAAAAUACUGCUUCACCAACCUGAAAUUCAACAUCCUUUCGAUGUUUAAUGGCAGCUUUUACCAUUCUCCGCUGAGCUCUUGCCAAAUUGUAUUGAAGUUGACACAAUAUUCCGUCCCUGUCCAACAAGGUCUGUGCCACUGCUUCCACCUUCGUUUCACCAGGCAAGAACUUGAGUAAAUUUGGCGGUGGUCUACCAUAUACUGCUUCAAUUGGUUGGCUUGGGCAGAAUAAUGGUAUAAUACAAGCCAUCAUAC